rnacentral:rRNA from 1 species
UGGGGAAUAUUGGACAAUGGGGGGAACCCUGAUCCAGCCAUGCCGCGUGUGUAAAGAAGGCCUUAUGGUUGUAAAGCACUUUAAGCGAGGAGGAGGGUACUGGUAUUAAUACUACCAGGUACUGGACGUUACUCGCAGAAUAAGCACCGGCUAACUCUGUGCCAGCAGCCGCGGUAAUACAGAGGGUGCAAGCGUUAAUCGGAUUUACUGGGCGUAAAGCGCGCGUAGGCGGCUAAUUAAGUCAAAUGUGAAAUCCCCGAGCUUAACUUGGGAAUUGCAUUCGAUACUGGUUAGCUAGAGUGUGGGAGAGGAUGGUAGAAUUCCAGGUGUAGCGGUGAAAUGCGUAGAGAUCUGGAGGAAUACCGAUGGCGAAGGCAGCCAUCUGGCCUAACACUGACGCUGAGGUGCGAAAGCAUGGGGAGCAAACAGG